rnacentral:lncRNA from 1 species
UUAAAUGUAUUAUCUAAAACAGAAUGAACUAAUGUGUCCUGUUGUGUCUGUUAUAUUUUCAGGGUUUUGCACCACCAUUACAGCAGCUGAGGUUUCUGGAGCAGCUACUGAUGGUCAUUCAAGCGGACUCCUCCAUAAACUCUAGGUAUCUGACUUCUGCAGCUUUUUGUACCAUUGAUUUAACAUCAACCUUUAGCCCUGCCCUCUUAUGCCCCAGCAAUAAUUGAAUGUGGUCUUGUUUCUGUGCUGUUUGUUUUGAUGGAUGUAGGCAGAACUCAUCCUCUGGUGAUGACGGUGUGAGGAACGAUGAUCUUCUUGGGGAACUAAUGUUUCAGGAUCACUUAUCAGACCUGGAUAUGCUCCUGAAUCCAGUCUGCAACCCGUGGCCUGCGCAUAUCCGUGAACAUCUAAUACGCACACAGUCAACUCACAACAAAAUGAAUGGAAAACAACACAGUAAACCCAGUGAUUUCAUAAACAGGUCUGUAUGAUUGUUAUGCACCCAUGUACGUUUUCAGCUGUUUUCUUUAACACGGUUUUUAUGUACUGCCAUCGAAGGGGUGAUCAACAUUCCCGACUAGGAAGUCAUGGAGAAGAAAGCCUGACAGAGGCCAUGGCGCUGCUGCAGUCUACGCAGAGCACAUUAGUCGAGCUCCACAAAGAGUGUGAAUUCCUUCACUCACAUUCGUCAGGUUCGGCAGCUGUUCUGUCCCCCUGUGCGCUGAAAGUGGCCAUCUCAGACAUGUCUCAGCUCAUGACGGCUUUCGGACACAUCUACAACACAGACUUUAAGGCGUACUGCCAAAGAGCCCCUCCGGCCCUCAGUUCUGGCGCUAUUGUGUUUCAGUCUGUACAUCAGCUCCUGCACACCUGUAAUGCGGUAAAGCAUCCUACAUCAUUUAUCUGCAGUAACUUAAAGCGAUUGUUCACCCAGAAAUGAAAAUUUGCUGUUAAUUGACUUUUUUCAUUUAGUAGAACAGUAAAGAUUUUUUUUUGUAGCUGAAACCAUUUGUAAUGCAUGAAAUACAAGUCAAUGGCUACAGUCACG